UGAUUCUGAAGGGGAUGUGGAGGAGUCUUCUGAAGAACAGAGCUUCUCAGACAAACAUUUUACUGGAAAAGGCUUACAUUUUCAGCCAUCAGUUCUAGAUUUUGGAAUACAGCUCCUGGGACAUCCUGCAGCAAAGAUUCUUUAUGCGUACAACCCUAGUAGGGAGAGCGAGGUUGUGGUGAACUCGGUGCUCACAGCUGCCAGACACUUUCAUGUGCCUCCUGUGCACUGCAGGGUGAGUGUUGAGCUCCUGGAAACUGUGCUGGGGCAGGAUGCCAGCUUCUCUUGCUUUCUUUGGCCGCAAGUUUGAACUUUGUGCCCUCUGUCUCCCCCUUUUCUGCUAUCCAGACUUUUCCUUCUGUGUGUUUGCUU
rnacentral:lncRNA from 1 species